rnacentral:rRNA from 1 species
CUCAGAUCAUGUAAGAUUUUAAUGAUCGAACAGAUCAAAAUUUUAAACUUUUGCAUUUAAAUUUUAUCUUAAUCCAACAUCGAGGUCGCAAACUUUUUUUUUUAUUUGUACUAAAAAAAAAUAUUACGCUGUUAUCCCUAAGGUAAUUUUUUCUUAUAAUCAUUAUUAAUGGAUCAUUCAAUCAUUUAUUUAUGUUUAAUUUUUAAAAAAAGUUAAUUAAAUUUUUCUAUCACCCCAAUAAAAUAAUUAAUUUUAUUUUAAUAAAAAUUUUAAUAUAGCCCUAAAAUAAAAAUAAAUAUAAAACUCUAUAGGGUCUUCUCGUCUUUUAAAAUUAUUUUAGCUUUUUAACUAAAAAAUAAAAUUCUAAAAAUAAAUAAGAGACAGUUUAUAUUUCAUCAAAUCCUUCAUACAAGUUUCCAAUUAAAAAACUAAUGAUUAUGCUACCUUUGUACAGUCAUUAUACUGCAGCCCUUUAAUAAUUAUCAGUGGGCAGAUUAGACUUUAAAUUAUACCCAAAAAGACAUGUUUUUG